CCUACGGGAGGCUGCAGUGGGGAAUUUUGGACAAUGGGGGCAACCCUGAUCCAGCCAUUCCGCGUGAGUGAAGAAGGCCUUCGGGUUGUAAAGCUCUUUUGUCCGGAGCGAAACGGGCGGCCCUAAUACGGUCGUCUACUGACGGUACCGGAAGAAUAAGCCCCGGCUAACUACGUGCCAGCAGCCGCGGUAAUACGUAGGGUGCGAGCGUUAGUCGGACGUGCGGGGCGUAAUGCGUACGCAAGAGGUGAAAUCCCCGGGCUCAACCUGGGAAUGGCAUUUGGGACUGCAAGGCUAGAGUGUGGCAGAGGGGACUAGAAUUCCUGGUGUAGCAGUGAAAUGCGUAGAUAUCAGGAGGAAUACCGAUGGCGAAGGCAGGUCCCUGGGUUUACACUGACGCUCAUGCACGAAAGCGUGGGGAGCAAACAGGAUUAGAUACCCGUGUAGUC
rnacentral:rRNA from 1 species